GCAGGCUGUCGAGAAUUAGUUCUUGAAUACUGUUGUGGUUUGAUCACUAAAAUGCCCUGUGACUUUUGGACUCUCUUUGAGUGUUUCUUGGAUUUGUUGCCUGCUAAUUGGAGGGAUAACUUGUUUUACACUUAAAGGUAAUGCUCAUGGGCAUCCUACCUACACUGGACCUGAACCAACUGGAUCCUAUGCCCAAGCAAGUGUGGUGUCUGGUCCAAAUGCUAAAGCUACUGGCCAAAAUGCAACGUCAGCAGAAGCUACUGGCCACAAUGCCACGUCCAG